GACGAACGCUGGCGGCGUGCUUAACACAUGCAAGUCGAACGGUAAGGCCCUUCGGGGUACACGAGUGGCGAACGGGUGAGUAACACGUGGGUGAUCUGCCCUGCACUUCGGGAUAAGCCUGGGAAACUGGGUCUAAUACCGGAUAGGACUCCGGACUGCAUGGUCUGGGGUGGAAAGCUUUUGCGGUGUGGGAUGGGCCCGCGGCCUAUCAGCUUGUUGGUGGGGUGAUGGCCUACCAAGGCGACGACGGGUAGCCGGCCUGAGAGGGUGACCGGCCACACUGGGACUGAGAUACGGCCCAGACUCCUGCGGGAGGCAGCAGUGGGGAAUAUUGCACAAUGGGCGCAAGCCUGAUGCAGCGACGCCGCGUGAGGGAUGACGGCCUUCGGGUUGUAAACCUCUUUCAGCAUCGACGAAGCGAAAGUGACGGUAGGUGCAGAAGAAGGAUCGGCCAACUACGUGCCAGCCGCCGCGGUAA
rnacentral:rRNA from 1 species